UCAUUUGUACCUUCAAGCUCUGCUUGGUGUUGGGUGUUUGUCCCGCCUUUGUGCGCGGACUCGCCUUAAAGCAAUUGGCAGCCGGCGUAUAGAUUUCGGAGCGCAGCACAAUCCGCGCUUUGUACUCAUUACGACGACAUCCAUCAAGACAUUUUUUAACUCUUGACCUCGGAUCAGGUAGGGAUACCCGCUGAACUUAA
rnacentral:misc_RNA from 1 species